CUAAGGCGCUGGCAGGAUUAGUGUCGGAGCAGAAUUUAAGUUCAACAAGGUGGGCUUGUCUGCCUGGGAUGUGACGCACAAAUAGAGCAUCAGGGCGGCUUGUAUGCUGAACAGGUGAGGCAGCUCCAUUUGGGAAAACCCAGUCUGGAAUAGCGCGAGAGGUAUUUUCAGGGACUUGUAUGCCUUGAUCCAGAAGUCUGUCAUGGCUGCACCCAUCCAUGCUAAUGAAGGAUGAGGCGCUAAAUGCCAAAGGUCAAAGUCACCCAACACAAAACCUUAUGGCAAUUUGUAUCCCCCCCACCCCAACACUGUUGGGAGGAAGUCAGGCAUGACUUACUAACAGGUUUGCCUCGCACACCACAUGGUCAUGAUGCAAUCAUUACUUAUGUUGAUAGGCUGUCUAAGCGAUUUGUCCUUGUUCCUUGCAAAAGUACAGUGACAGCAGAGCAGUAUGCAGAUCUUUUCUUUUCCAAUGUAUUUAGGCAUUUUGGCUUGCCGAAGCGUUUCAUUUAAGACAGAGAUCCCAGAUUCAUCUCACACUUUUGGAUAGAGCUGUUUAAACGCCUCGGGACCUCCCUCAACAUGUCCACCGCACACCAUCCUCAAACAGAUGGGCAGACAGAGCGUGCAUACCGCACAAUUGAAGACAUGCUGCGUGCUUAUGUGUCCCCAUUCCAUAAUAGAUGGGAUGAACUCCUCAUUCCUGCAGAAUUUGCAUAUAACAACAGCAUUCAAGCAAGCACAGGAUUCACCCCAUUCUAUCUCACCAACGGCCAGCAUCCACACACACCAUUAUCCUUGGCGUUGGAGCAAUCAUCCCCUCAGCCAACACCAACCCCUGCUUAUGAUUUCUUGAACAGGUUUCAGAGACACCUCUCACAUGCCAAACAUUCUCUGGAUCUGGCUCAACAGCGCCAACAACGCUAUGCAAACCGAAGGCGCACAGAUGCAGAAUUCCAACCUGGAGGCUUUGUGCUCCUGUCUACCAGACACCUCAACAUGCACAUCCCUGAAAAUUCUACACCAAAACUGUUUCUUAAAUACGUUGGUCCAUUCCAAGUUCUUGAAGCUCUCUCUCCAGUCACAUAUCGCCUCCAACUCUCACCCACCAUGAAGUGCCAUAAUGUCUUACAUAUCAGCCUCCUGGAACCCGCCAACUUUCACUCUGAGGAAUUCCCUCACCGCGCCCAACCCAAUCCACCCCCCGUCUUUAUUGAGAAUGAUCAAGCCUACUAGCAGGUGGAGAAAAUCCUCAGGCAUUACCCAGCUACCACAUCCUCCCACGACCAAACAUCCAACUACCGCAUUAAGUGGGCAGGAUACCCUACUCAUGAGUCCACAGGCAAACCAGCCGAGAACGUGUUCAAUGAUAUACCUCAAGAGGUCCACAGAUAUUGGAAUGAACAUUCCAAGCAACACACCUCACGCCAGCCCGCCAACCGCCGCCAGCCAGCUGCCCGCGCCCCCCUUGUCCGAGUUCCGCCAGCCUUGACUACCCGCCAGCCAUGACAUCCUGCCCAAGUCUGCUGUCCGUGCAAUGCCUCUUGGAGUUUGGCUCGGUUCCUGUGCGACUUAGAUUAGUUUGUCUGCCCCUCUGUCUGAUCUGGACGCUGACUACUUUCUGACGCCAACUUGUGCAUCUUGUAUGUAUUUAUUAAAUUAAUAAAAAAAUCCAUGUUUUUAUGACUUCUCAAAGAGCAAAGCAACCUGUGGGCCUCGGCCAMCUAUUCCGUGGUAUUAGUCCACGUAUAAAACCACGCAAGCCAAUUGCUUUCCGAUCUCACACAGGGUCUUCCACCAUGAAUGAGCCUUCAAACGCUCAAAUGAUAGAGUUUCUCUGUCGUCGAAUGGAUGCAUCUGAUAAUGAGCGUCGCCAUGCAGAGCGCGCUGUUGCCAACCAAUUAAACAACAUUUCCGACAAGCAGGAACGCUUAUCGACGCGACAAGACAUUCUGAGCUUUGAGCUGCAACGUGCACAUGAGCGCAUUGAUGUUAUUGAGCAGCGCCCUCGACCAACAACUAUGUCAUCCAGCUCGGACAAGGCUUCCAAAUGGAAAGAUGACACAAGGCGGGACACUUACAACUAUGAUGAAAUAGCAGGUCGCGCAUUUGUCAAAUACCCAAACAAUGUGCUGGUCGACAUUUCUUCUACUUCGCGUACCCUCGCCACAGACAAGCCAAUCAAACCCUUAGAGUCAGACCGGGCUGUAAAUUGCUUCCUGAUUGACGUGGGACCCAAGGGCAGUGCAGGCACGCGUGCUGUUACCACUUUCAUCAACCAGACAAAAGACAAGAAACCACCAGGGGUAAAGCUCCAGCGACAGAAAACCCCCCAAACAAUCAAACGCAAGAAGACCGUGAACAAGAUUGAUUCUGCUGUACGCAGCGUCAUCGCGUCCACACCACGGUUGGCAGGAUUGAAAUUGCAUGUAGGAGCCAGUGGAAGCAAUCUUUUUCUCUCCUACUUCGACCGCUCAGAUGCGCUGAACUACAAGAAGCGAGACGCACCCGCCUACCAAUUUCCUGCAUGGGAACACGUUGCGUAUGAGGAGACAAUGGGUACAGGCAGGGAGGGUUUUGACUUUACCUCACCUACGCAUCUAGAUCCAACCUCCAUCUUGGCAUCCAUCAAAGCCACUGUUGGACAACCAUCUGAUGAAGGUGUACCCGAUACCAUCAUGACUGAGCCUAACAAUGCCCGUCCUGCACGUGUCCGAGAGGGCCAAGAAAACUCUAAAGCCAAGCAAGCUCGCACUGGAUCCAAGAACAAUUGAUGGGCAGGCCUUCAGUCAGAACUGAGAUUGCUGGCCAUUAAUUGCGAUGGACUUCCAGAGGAUGAAGAAUCUCUGAAACUGGAAGAGCUCGCUUUGCACAUACAAAAACAUCAUGUUAUCACGUUGUCAGAGACAAGGACAAAUGACAUUAACCGAAUUUUUCGUUUUUUGCCACAACAUGUUCUUGUAGGCAACACACCCAUUCCUAUGACCAAUAAUGGACGCAAGGGACAAGGAGUAGCUCUUUUGGUUUCUAAAGCUCUUGCAGAACGCUUCACUCUCUUGCAUGUAUCACAAACAACACAAACUGUGUUCGCUCGUUGUGAUUCAUGCGUUUUUGGGAAGGAACAUCCUGUCCUUUUUGUGGCAACGUACAUUGCUCCUGAGCAGAACGAGGACAAACAUGAUAUUACAUCUCAAUAUCAACACCUUGGGCAAGAGUUGCAACAGUAUUUAAUGUCUUUUUCGCCAAACCUUAUUCUUUGUGGGGAUUUAAACGCGCAUAUCGGUGACCUUGAUGAAAUAGCAAACACUCACUUUGAUAUGUUACAUACGUGCCCUUCUCUUCUUUCUAAGCGUAAGAUUCAAAAUUUCCAUGUGAACAAAGCGGGACAACUUUUGAUACGUCUAGCUUCCUCGCUAGGCCUCAUGUUAAGCACGGGCAGAGUACCAGGAGAUAAAGGGCAAGCAACAUUUGUUGGGUACAACAAGACAUGUGAGACUAGGCCCGAUCACAUGCUGACAUCUAAGCCAAUGUUUCUUCACGUGAAAAAGACCAAGAUCACUGUACCCAAAUUCUUUUAUCAUUGUUUUCAUUCUGUGUCCUUAUCUAUGACCUCUACUAUUCCAGGUGUUGAUAUAUGUUUACGACAGUGCCCUCUUUAUGGUCCAACUACCAACUUCUUGAGAUGGAAGCCAGAAAGGAGUAGUGACUUUGUUAAGUUUCUGGAGCAGGACACCCUUGCAAGACUGAGGUUUUACCAUGCAAUUGAGUCUCAAAAUGUGGAACAUGCCUGGUCUGAGCUAAAAAAUUGGAUCCUAAAUGCAGCCGUCAAUUCUGGGAUGACCACGGCAGGGAUUCACUCUCGCUCUCCUCCCAACAAUGUAUUCAAAAAAGCAGAGUGGUUCGACAGUACAUGUUUUCACAAAAAGCAAGCAUAUCUAAAUGCUGCUUUACACGGAGAUACUCAAAAUAAAGCCCACUUGUGUCAUGAGUAUAGGUCUUACAACCAGAUGUGUAAGAGGCGUUUUUUCAAUUCAAAACGACGAAUCUUUCUACAAAAGCUUUUUGAUAACGAUCCCACAAUCCACAGCAUGCUCAAAAAGCCUGCUGAAAAACAUGUGACUCCUGUGUCUGAAGAUGCUUGGCAUUCUCACCUUCAUGCUGUGUUCCGACGUACUCCGUUUUGUCAUAAUGAGAAUGAACUUGACAGAGAAGAAGCAGCACCACAGUACAUUGCAGCCACAGCUUACCAGCUCAACGAGCCCUCUCAUAAUUUUGGUGCCAAUCAACAAAGAUAUGAUGACCUGCAACAAGAGCCACCCUCACUCUUCUGUUUUCCUACGGAAACUGAACUUUUCAAUUUGGUCUCCCAACAUAUUUCUGCCAUGAAGACCAAUUCCUCACCAGGCUUCGACGCUGUUUCUCCUGCCUUCAUUAAGAAUGCUUACAAGCGUGUUCCCAGACAGCAGGGUAGAGGGACAGAAAAUGUUCAUGUAUUGGCACCUCAUGUCACUUCCUUCUUCCAACUGCUUUUGCAAAAAGCACGCGUACCCAAUGCCUGGAAGGAAGCCAAACUUACCCCUAUUCAUAAAAAGGGCCCUGUUAUCUCUCCCAAGAAUUACAGGAUGAUUGCUGUGAGCGCUCCCAUCUAUCGGCUGUACACAAAUGUCCUGAGGAGUAUCAUUCAAGAUUGGUGUUUUCACCACAGACAGAUUCCUGAUACUCAAUUUGGGUUCUACCCAGGACGAAGCACACUUCAACCAUUUUUCAUUCUCCGCCAAAAAAAAAAACGAUGAGAUGAUUACAAAGUAUCGUACAAGGACACAUCCUGAACGAAGCACCAAGUCCAUGGUUAUAUGGAGACUACCUACACGAAUAGAGCUCGCCAACCACUUUGACACUAAACUUCGGCAGAAAGAGGCCCGUACGUGUGAGCAAGCUACGGCAUUAACGAGACAAUUGCACGAAACAACAUCACAAAACCAGUUACUCCAACGACGCAUAUCCAACUUUGAGCAACAAUUCGCAAGCAUGAUUAUGAUGCAGCUUCCAAAUGGGAGAAAGAUACUGAAAUGGAUUGCCACAAAUAUGAUGACAUAUCUGGACAUGUGUUCGUGGUGACGAAAGACAGCGUUUCUGCCAACACCAUAUCGCAUGUCCUUGGUACAGACAAGACAAUCCUCCCAUGCAGCAAGUACAACACAACAUUUCGUAUUCUUGUCGGAAACGGGCGACGUGCGGGCUCUCUAGCUGUGUAAUCGUUCCUCAACACUGUCAAGGACAAAAUAACAAAUGAUUGGAAAGUGCAAAGGGAACGCACAAAGAUGACUAUGCAACGCGAGAGAAGUUUGAAUGACUUGAAUACUGUUCAGCGUGUCAUUUCCGCUCAACCGAAAUUUGUUGGCCUCAAUUCAUAUGUUGGAGUGAACGGUUCAAACAUUUUCCUUUCAUACGGAGAUAAAAGGGAUGCCUUAAACCUCAAGAAACAAGAUACACCGGCAUUCAAGUAUCCCGUCUGGGAACACUUCAUCUUCGAUCCGCUGUUGAACAUGGGCAAAGGCGGCAUGAACUACAAGAACAAAAUUAACCUACCAACUGCAUCUAUUGAGGCUAACAUCACACAAUCUCUCUCUACCUCUCCUUCCAUCCGUGAGAAAGAAAACCAUAUGCAGAAUGAUACAUGCGGUGCAGGCCUUCGUCACUCUGAUGGUGGAACUGAACGACUUCAAAGAUUACAACUGAGCCUCGCUGAAUUUCUUUUCCACUCAUUCAACAUCUUUGCAAGACGGCAUGGAAAUAUGGCAGAAGUCUCAAGGGUCUUGAUGCGCUAAUGUAUUCAACCUGCCUUGUAAGCAUGUUAUCCAGUACCUUCACAAACUGCCAUGUAGGGUUCAGCAAUUUGCGUUCCUUUCACGCUUGAAUGAGGUGUGUCUCCUUCAUCGGUACUUACUAUUAUACUUUAUAGGAGUUCAGGAUGAGUCCUUAACCCAAACUGUCCAGACCCAUCUCAACCAGUCCUUUAUUACCUUUUCCUUCUUGAAAAUGUUACUUUUAUUUGCAGGCCUAGCAGUCGCGAGUGUUGACUGAUGGCCUUUAUUUCCUGUAAACCCUGUAAACCCUGUAAACCCAUUCUCCGCCUUUUGAAACACGCAGCUCAGAAGACUCAGCAUGACACUUCCAGGCUUUUCUCGGCUUUCAUUGAUAUUCAGCAGGCUUAUGACUCUGUCCCACGAGAUAAACUGUGGAAACAUCUUUAUCGUUGUCGAAUGCCUCAACAACUUAUUUUCAUUCUUCAAGACAUAUACCAUAUGGAUGAAUACACUCUGCUAGAUGGAGACAAAAUGGCAAGUGUACAACCAUUAUUUGGUGUGAAACAAGGGUGUCCGCUCUCCCCGCUUCUUUUCGCGAUCUAUCUUAAUGAUAUUGAUAGUAUAGCUGAGGGCGUCCAAGGUGCUCUAACUGCCAUCCCCAAUGUAACGGUGACCCAUUUACUCUUUGCAGAUGAUCUGGCUUUGGUAGCAAACAGACAACCAAGUCUACAAGCACUUCUUAACAAUUUAAAAGAAUAUACCAUGAAAAAAUCUUUGGUUGUCAAUACCCAGAAAUCACAAAUUAUUUGCUUCAAUUCCAGACCCAUCAAUCUUCCCUUCUUUUUCUAUGAUGGAUCACCAUUACCGUAUACAGAACAUUUCAAAUAUCUGGGGAUGAUAUUUGACAAGAACCUCAAUUUUUCUGUAGCAGCAGAUGCAGCCUUACAGCCUCUCAUGAACGGGACCUUCAAGAUUCAACGUUUUGCUCAGGAACAUGGUCUAACCAAUCGACUUCAUGCCCUCAUCUGGUUAUUGAAAACUUACUCUAUUCCCGCGGGUAUGUAUGCGAGCCAGGUUUGGGCAAUCCCCUAUCUCAAGCAAGGUAAGGAGAUGGACAGUUCCUUACAAAAAUGGCUUCUUGCUACUCUCAAAAGGUGGUUGGGUGUGCGAGAUACAACCCCCUCUUGGUCUACAUUACGAGAAUGCGGGCUGGAGCCUCUACAGUUCAAUUGGUUCCGUGCAGCUAUUCGCCUGUAUAACUCUUUCACCCAAUGCAAUAGCAUUACUGUCAGRAAAGUGCUACAGGCGGACAUUCAUCUAUCUUCUUCCUCUUGUGAUUGCUGGUCUUCCCACAUUUUCUCUGCUAUGAAUGGUUUAGCAAAUUCUGGUCAAUUCCAACACAACAUGAUGAAUUGCGAACCAAUUAACUUMCGCCAGUUUGUGGUAGACCUCAGAUCCCGGCAGGUUAACUAUUGGACUCAAUUCUCCGACUCCAGUCCCAGAGAACGGAAUAGUAAACACCGUACUUUUCAUCAAUGGUGUGCGCUACCUCUUCGCAGUAUUGCAGCUGCCCAUGCCCCUUAUCAGGUUCCCAAGUAUUUCUAUCUUUCCCUUCCCAAAGAUGUCCUCCGCAGUGUUGCACGCUUUAGGCUCCGCGUCCAUACACUCCGGCAGGAAACUUCUACUUGGAUGCAGGGCUCUUCCUCUCAUUGUGAUUUAUGUCAAGACGUAGAUAGUAUCCAGGAUGAAAAACAUGCCAUUUUUCAUUGUACACAUCCACAUGUUGUGGCUUUGCGUGGAAAAUAUGCCUCUUUAUUUAUUAAUCAAGAAGCCCAAAACGUUCGUGAAUUUCUAAUGCAAGAUAACAAUAAACUUUUUUUCUUUCUGCAUGAAAUUGUCACUUUCUAUGAGCAGGCUAGCAGUCGCACGUUUUGACUGAAGGCCUUUUCUUUCCUGUAAUCCUGUAAUCCUGUAUGUAUUUAUUUUCUUUUCCCUGCCUUCAAACUCUCCUAGCUGUUGCUUGAGGGGGGGAGAAUGCAGAGUUCUGCAAGCUGUCAGUUACGUCUUUUGGAACUUUUUAUCUCUGAACUGCUCUCCAAGUCCUCUUUUUUUUAUAUGCACUGGAAAUUGUGUAAAUAAGGGCCAUUAGUUAGUCCUCUAUAGCGUGGAGAAGAAACUGCACAGAAAUAAUGGAGAAGCAAGUAAGUGCCCACUGUCCUACUCUACGCUACACUAAUGCAGGUGCUUGCAAAUCCAGUGUCUGUGCAGCAACAACAGUGCCCUUUCAAGCAGAAGUGCCUGGCCACGCCGCUGUCCCAGGGGCAUCACCGACGCCUGCACCCAGACCUGCACCUCCGCCUUCAGACACGGUGUGUGUGGCGGGAUCUGAGCUGUCACAGCAUGACAUGGCUGGCGUGCAAAAGCAGCCUGGAUUUGAGGUUUCGUUCAAGGUGCUCACACCCACACUGUUUGGAGCAUUACAGCGCACUGACCUCUUGCCUCCCUUGCCUGAGGGGCACACGCAUGUAGCUGCUGCAACAGUGCCAAAUCAUCAGCUGCCCCUGUGCAUGAAUCAGGGAAACUAAUCCAGAGCGUGAUAACCAAUGAGCACAAGCAACCUGCAUCAAAGAACCCAUUGCUAACCCAGAGCAUGAUGGCCAGUGAGCAUAAACGACCUGCAUCUGACAACUCAGUGCUGCAGGAGCCCUCUCGUUUCAGAUAUGAGGACUUUUCUUCAUUUGCAUCCAAGUGCGUGCCAGAACCUGAUCCACCUGCAUUUGAUGUGUCUAAGUAUUUGGAAGCACUAGCGGGCUUUACAUGCUGCCACACGGUGUCUCACUUGUGCGCAGGAAGAAGACGAUCAACCCAGCCCGGGUGUUGUAUGAUACAUGCUCGAAUGCCAAUCUAUUGUCAAAGGAAUUUGCAGAUUGCCAUGGCAUCCUGUAUGGACCUUCCCCACACAAGAUACGCACAUCAAUGGGCAGCUCCAUGGGCGUUGUCGGGCAAGUGGUAGGCCCGAUACGCACCAUUUUGAACAAAUGUUCUGAUGUAGAGUGCUCCACUAUGUCCCUUGCUGCAGUCACCUUCCUAGUGGCAACAGGUUGUCGUGCGAGAUCAGCGCCAUAUACACAUCACCAAGCUGGGAGCACAGAACACUUUUUUACCCUUUCAGCUUAUUAUCAUUAAUAAUAGCAUAUAUAUGCUGUCAUUACUAAUAGAUUGUAAUUAAGGGAAUAAAGGGUAACAGAAUAACUAACUGACUGUCAACCAUGAUUCAGCAAUAGCAACGAUUCAGCGUGACAAGGUGUGGAUGAGCUCUACGACAGUGUAUUGCUGAAACCCAUGUUGGACGCAACUGGAGAUCCUUUCUUGAUCCUGUCUUGGAUGUACUGCAAUACAGGCCCUUUCUGCUUACCAAAGCGGAUGUGAUCACUCUUGAUAAUGUGUCAACACUGGAGGAUGCAUCCCGAGAAAUGCAGCCCCUGCCCUUCUCGUGUGCACGACUAAGCAGGACAGCGGUUCCAGCACUGCAUCCUCAGGUGCUGCAUGCAACCAGGUGACAGGCAAUAUUCAAGCAAAUGCACACACUAAUGCACAACCUGCACCACAUGCCAGAAAAGCAGGCACUGGUGUUGGGAUGUUGACAUUGUUCUGGCUGCGUCACUAUUCCAGCCUGACUAACAGCCCUAUUUUAUGUCCAGUUUCACCUCCAAAUUACAAAUACACCAAUGUGUCACAUUGAGCAACUGUGGGGGUACCUCAGCAGAGUUUUGUUCAUUCUUGUUUCCUGUGAGCUGCUGCAAAACUGAAGUGUCCAGGCACAACAACCUUCAUUCUGUGCUGUGCUUCCUGCAAUGCAUUCCAUGCUGUGUGCGUGCAACUACACAUCUGGGGAGUUGCUUGCAAAACCAGCCAAAGCAACUCAAAGCCAAUCGUGCAUGCAACCCCGGCUUCCCAUCCAUGCAGCACAUUGUCACAUGCACGGAAAUAUACCAGCAAAUCCGCAAAGACCAUCGCUAAAAAGCUCAUGCGGUACCGACUUCUCCUGGAGCUGUUCCAACGCAAGCCCCUCUCAGCAACAGAUCUCAGCCAUCCACAUGCACAGGUGCCCACUGGCCAAGCUCAUGCAGCAUUCCAUUGCAGGUACAUGCCUCACAGAAUAAAGGCCUUACAGCUACCUAGAACUACUGCCCUUUUGCCUUCAUUUCCCCCGAGCCACACAGAACAGUACCAUCUCAGUCUGUGGUAUAUUUAAACCACUGCCAUACACGUCCAUCCUGGCUCACAAUAAUCACGCCGGCAGCUGAUUCAGCACACAAUCUUGCCACGCCAUAGGCUUCCCUUACUAAAGGAGACAGAUUGUUCAGAGGAAAGCCAGAUUCUCACAAAUGCACCCUGCCCAAACACGAUGGCCACGGCACUCGGUAGCUGCCAACACAAGGUCUGCACAACUUGCCAUGCGGCUUUCAAGCUCUACGUGAACUCCAGGUUCCGGUCACUGUUCAGUAAGGCUACUGCAGCACCAGCCCAAAGAUUCAACCACACACUGCUUGCAUACCCAUACAUGCGCAACAUGCACCAUACCAGAGGUUCUGCCUCCACCUAUCCAAACCACAAGCUGCACAUGCCUCCAGGAAGCAAAGCCAAACCACAGACAACCUAGACUUGUGGGUCCUGCCUAGCAUCUUUUUGUAGCUUGUCUCCCGCUCCCCUUUGCAUGACAGUACCUUGCUCUUGGCUCGAUCGUCCAGUGUUCCGCUAAAAAAAAAAAAAAAAAGACGGGGGGAAGGAAAGGAGGUGGCAGAUUCGAUAUUGAAGAGUCAAGAAUACACUGACAGCCUUGGUAUCACUGACAGUACAUGUCGGCCCUUGUCCGACUCAAACAUCAAGUUCACAAUCUCACCUCUGAAAAUCAAAACUUGGCCCAAAAGAUUUCAGAAGCAAAUGCACGUGCGACGGAAUUACAACAUUCUGUUACCUCGCGGAACUGUCGCAAUGCAAUAUCCAGAAUGCCACCAUUUUACAACCAUGAUGCGGCCCUUCUGUGGCAAAGAGACACCUCUUUAGAUGCAAUUCGCAAUCGUAACAUUGCCGGCGAUGUCGUUGUGGCUAGGGACAACGCUCCUCCAGCCCGCAUUAUGACCACUUUGGGGACUGAUCACCAUAUUUUCCCAUUCAAACCCAACAGGAGCGUAUAUAGCAUUGCAGUUGGGAAGCAAGGACGAGCGGGGGGUUCGGCGGUGAAAUCCUUUUUGAAUACUWUCAGAGACVGGGUGCCUCCGACAUGGAAAAUUACGAGGCAACGAACACCACUGACCAUGAUACGAGAGAGGAKCCUGAAUUUUAUAAAUACUCGCAUCGAACAUGUUAUUUCAACAGAGCCCUCUCWGACUGGGAUGCAAUSACACGUUGCCCCCAAUGGAACGGCCAUUUAUCUGUCUUACGCWGACAGACGGUGCGCCCUUGAUCCCARAAAUACCGCUGCCCGUACAUAUCUAUAUCCAGUAUGGCUACACUUUGAUAUCGAUGAUGCAAUGAAAAAGGGCUCGAGAAGCCUGAAAUACACCCAACCUGCACACACUUUCGUAGUUGACACUAAAAAUCUGAUUCAUACAACUAUCCCCUUCAGCAAUGUCCCUAUGCCCCACCAGCAACACCUGCAACAACAACAACAACAACAUCCAGCAAGGUCCACGCGUUAUGUUAAUAUCAACAACAACGGUAACAACGACAACAGCAACAAGCCACAUUCUGUUCGUAUACAGGCUUCCGAUCGGCCCAAUUAUGUUUUUCUCGGCCUAGCAAGCAUUUUCCUGAGUCUGAUCAAGCAGAGGGCGCACUGGUAUGAUAAUCGUUUUGGCCACACUACCAUAGAUUUACACAAGAAUGCAUGCAUUCUCAGCGAUGAGAACAACACAGAUGAGUGGACGUCAAACAGUGAUACCACAGAUGGUGACUCGAAUGAUUCAUGGUCCACCAUGAGUGACUAAAGCCUGUAACACACAAAUACAUCUUUGUCAAGUGAAGCUUUUCCAAAACAUCGAGGUUCAGGCUUGUAUGCCUUGCCUGUUUCUGCAUUUUAAUUGGAACUAGUGUCUUCUUCCUUCCUUCCUCUCAUCAACCUCAUCAACUUCAAUUUAUUUUCCCUUUCCAGUGAAUUGUUUAUUUUAUGAGCAGGCUAGCAGUUGCGAGUGCUGACUGAAGGCCUUUUUCUCCUGUAAAUCCUGUAAAUCCUGUAAAUCCUGUUCCGCUAGGCUACCAACAACCCCCCCCCCCCCCCCCAGCUCCAGUCCCCACCAGGCUACUCAUUCUACGUGUUCAUGUGAGCCCCUCACCGCAUCAUAUCCUUCUCAUGCCGGUGACUAGUGUCGCGGGGUCUCGCGUCUGGGGAACUUGGGGGUGUCGGGCCCACAUCACGUUUGUCUUGCACUCAUCACGCAUUCCACACGCAUGCGUGAGCACGAGCACGCUUCACACACAGAGGGCAAGUCCAGCUGCGGCUGCACUGCAAUUGCUGGCUCAUGGCGCAUAAACACUGCUGCUGUGCUGCCAAACUGAACUCCCCUGAGUGUGGGCGGGCGGGCGCCCCCACGCCAAAUGGCGCCCAGGCCGGCUUCGCUCCAGCUGAUAAAGGGCUGUUGUGGAUACAAGUAUAAUUAAGAAGGGCCAAAACAAGAGGAUUCUCAGACUCCAAGAUUGAUCUCAUACCUCACACAGAAAUUCUUAAUUGACCACUUUAAUCACAUAACAUCAAGCCUCUGUCGCGUAGAGGCCCCAGGUUCUGUUCAGUGCUUGCAUGUGCACACUGCAUGAUGCUUGUAGCACACUUGUAGGCCCAGACCGGCUUGAGUGGCAUAACCAACGCCUGAGCCCCCACCCAAAAGGUCUUGGCAUGCAGGAGGUUUGCGUCCCCUUUUCCUAAGUGAAAAGGUAUCUGGAUGGCAUUCCCCGCAAGGACCGCACCCCCAUCUCUUGUUGGGAAUAGUAUCUGGGUGACGGAACUCAAACUACUGCCUUGGUCAGUGUGGGUUCGACCCAAAUCCUCCCCAAACAGUCUCCCACCUCUCAGCACACCUCACAAGCACUCACCACAAGCAUCCUGCAUGCCAGCCAGGUCUUCCUUCACCAAAUGUGCUUCUGCAAGCUGCCCCAAAGCUGCGGGGAGACCUGUCCUGGCCCUUCCAGGAAGGGCAGCAGCCAAGGAGACAACGCCCUGGGGCAUCAAGAAACAGCCCAUGAAAAGGGGCAUCCAUCCAUGCACAUGCAUUCUACGUCUUUGCAAGCUGCACACAGCCCACACCCAGUGCAUUUUUGACCAUACACAGCCUGUACAUGACAGUAAUCCUUGUUAUGCACGCAAGGAGCAAAAGCUGCGCACACAAAAGCACAGACACUGCACCAACAUGAAACGAAUAACCUCCUUCCCGCUUCUGCUUGCAAUUCACACCUACAAUUGCACGCAUGCUCCCACUCAAAGAAACAAUCUGCUCUUUUUGUUUUUCACCCUUCAGUCUGCUGCACAAUGCCUUUCUCUCCCUGCUCCAAAACAACAUGCACGUGACACACUCUAUAGGCUCCAGUGUUGUUAUUAGGCGCGACGCGUCGCUUUGGGUCGCGAUUUUCAUACUCGGGGGAGCGACCCAGUGACGCCCGCAGGGCGUCGCUGGGGCGCCCCGUGUUGCACCAAGCGACACCAUUUUUUGGGUUUUGAGAACCUUGUGUCAAAGUUAUAAAUGUCGAAUCGUGGCACAUUGCACGCCGCUCGUGAGGGGAACUCGAGUUCGCUCAGCAUUCCCCUGAAAAACUCGGCAAACUACAGUGCUCUGGCAGGUCAGCAAGAAGAGCAGCAGCAGUAACGGGGAGCAACCAAGAGGAGCAGCAGUUAAGGGGAGCAGCCAGCUAAGGAGCCAAGGAACCUCCCUAAAUNNNNNNNNNNNNNNNNNNNNNNNNNNNNNNNNNNNNNNNNNNNNNNNNNNNNNNNNNNNNNNNNNNNNNNNNNNNNNNNNNNNNNNNNNNNNNNNNNNNNNNNNNNNNNNNNNNNNNNNNNNNNNNNNNNNNNNNNNNNNNNNNNNNNNNNNNNNNNNNNNNNNNNNNNNNNNNNNNNNNNNNNNNNNNNNNNNNNNNNNNNNNNNNNNNNNNNNNNNNNNNNNNNNNNNNNNNNNNNNNNNNNNNNNNNNNNNNNNNNNNNNNNNNNNNNNNNNNNNNNNNNNNNNNNNNNNNNNNNNNNNNNNNNNNNNNNNNNNNNNNNNNNNNNNNNNNNNNNNNNNNNNNNNNNNNNNNNNNNNNNNNNNNNNNNNNNNNNNNNNNNNNNNNNNNNNNNNNNNNNNNNNNNNNNNNNNNNNNNNNNNNNNNNNNNNNNNNNNNNNNNNNNNNNNNNNNNNNNNNNNNNNNNNNNNNNNNNNNNNNNNNNNNNNNNNNNNNNNNNNNNNNNNNNNNNNNNNNNNNNNNNNNNNNNNNNNNNNNNNNNNNNNNNNNNNNNNNNNNNNNNNNNNNNNNNNNNNNNNNNNNNNNNNNNNNNNNNNNNNNNNNNNNNNNNNNNNNNNNNNNNNNNNNNNNNNNNNNNNNNNNNNNNNNNNNNNNNNNNNNNNNNNNNNNNNNNNNNNNNNNNNNNNNNNNNNNNNNNNNNNNNNNNNNNNNNNNNNNNNNNNNNNNNNNNNNNNNNNNNNNNNNNNNNNNNNNNNNNNNNNNNNNNNNNNNNNNNNNNNNNNNNNNNNNNNNNNNNNNNNNNNNNNNNNNNNNNNNNNNNNNNNNNNNNNNNNNNNNNNNNNNNNNNNNNNNNNNNNNNNNNNNNNNNNNNNNNNNNNNNNNNNNNNNNNNNNNNNNNNNNNNNNNNNNNNNNNNNNNNNNNNNNNNNNNNNNNNNNNNNNNNNNNNNNNNNNNNNNNNNNNNNNNNNNNNNNNNNNNNNNNNNNNNNNNNNNNNNNNNNNNNNNNNNNNNNNNNNNNNNNNNNNNNNNNNNNNNNNNNNNNNNNNNNNNNNNNNNNNNNNNNNNNNNNNNNNNNNNNNNCACACACACACACACACACACACACACACACACACACACACACACACACACACACACACUCACACACACAAUGGAGCAUGCAUGCGGGCAGGCCUCGCUGAGCUCCUCAACAAGUUCCCUCCCAAGUGAGACACCCCAAAAAUCACUAAUAACAACACUGAUAGGCUCAUGCACCUCAUCCUUGCAAAUACCCUCCAUGGUGACAAGAAAUUCCACCACAUUGGCCACCUGCACGCAUUGCGGUGCAGGACCACUGUCUCACUCUCGCAACGGAGCCCUUCAGCCCUCGCCAAGAGAGAUGAACAGACAAGUCAGUAGCCCACACACGCACACACACACACACCCUGGGAUGCAGCAAAUGGGUGCACCCCCUCGUCAUCAUUAUUUUGAGUCCCAAGUAGGCACCAAGUACCCAGUCCAUGCACUUGCAACUUCAAGCAACGACUCAAUCACACAUAUUGCCCCACCUUUGUACAUGGAGAAAUAAGAAAAGGGUUUCUGCCUGGUCCAUGCCUUUAACAUGGCUGUUGGGUACCCUGAUAUCUCUGGAGUUUCCAUCCUUGACCAAAUUAAAAUUCUGGAAGACACACUCAAGAGGAGAAACCUGCAACAUCUUUACUUAAAGCACUUCUACCGCAAGAACACAGGCAACUUCAACUGCAUAUUGUUAUAUACCACAUUACCUCUCCACCACCAUGCCCUACAGCAGCACUGCGCGUUGCUUCAUCAGGCACAAAAUAAAUGAGCUCCAGAAAGGACAAACCAAUGAAUACCUCCUUGACAGUCUCCUCGCAACCAGUGCGUGCAGCUCUGCUCUUAUUCUAGCAACAAAUGACAGCAGCAACCGCGCACACGAUGUUACUCUAAAGAAAGCCAUAGCUUUGACCAUACAUGCUGGCACUGGUACUCAUUAGACUCUAAUCUACCUCAACCUGUCUGUUUGUCCUCCUGUUUUCACUGGCACAAUCUGCAGUCUCCUUACCAUGGAACCGCAUAUGGAAUAACAUUAGCAACGACUCUGUGCUUAACCUAGCCGACCCCUCCACACCUGUUAUUAGCGCACCUCAGCAGCUGAAUUCCCCCAUUGCACCCUAGCCAGAGCAAUACAGCAUCAGCGGCGACAUGAACCCCGAUGGUAGAACUGAAACAAAUUCCAAUGACACUCAACAACGUCAAAUUCAGUUGAUUAUCUACAGAUCGUAACAUUUAACGUCAAAGGCCUAUACAAAAGCAAAGAUGACCUCUUAGAAUGUUAUGACCAUACUUCCAUCUGGAUCUACCCACACAUAUCUUACGCAGUGUUGCCUGUUUUUGGUUACGUGUUCAUCUUAUGAGGAUUGAGCUAAACUACUGGAAUGAAAGUAUUGAUCCUAAGUGCGAUCUGUGUUAUGCUCACGAUGAUGUCCAGGAUGAGCAAUAUGUACUCACCCUCAUGUUUGCAACCUUAGAAGGAAAUAUGCAUCUUUGUUUAAUGGACAUGCCCUUUCCCUCUCAACUCCAGAGUCUCAAGCGGCACCAUUCCUGCAUGCAUCUCACCAUGUCCCACCGCAUGCCAUGCGAUCUUUUUUGAAUUAAAACAAUAAUAAACUUUAUCCUUUCCUGCAUGAACUUUUACUUUUUUAUGAACAGGCUAGCAGUCAGUCGGUUCGACAGGAGGCCUUUCUUCUCUGUAACUCUUAGAAUAUUAUGACCCUGACAUUUUCUCCUUCACAGGGACAAGAAUACCUUCCUACAAGAACGAACCACCUGAAUGGCUGUGCACACUGCUGCAAGGCUACAGCUGGUGGCAAAAUCCGCAUCACCACAGAGGUGCACUGCUGUGCAUGAAGGAAAGUAUCGCUCUCACAACCCAAGCCAGCCAACUGGUUGUUCCUCCUACUUUACAAGGAAGAGUUGUGGCAAUCAAAAUGCACACACUUCACCUAUCCCUCCUUCUCUAUUCCACCUAUUGGCCAUCAGGUAAUUCACCAGCAAAUGUGUGCGAACGCCAGCACAUGGAAGCAUACAUUAGCGCUACCAUUAGCUCCCAGACCUGCACUUCCGUCCUCAUGGGUGACAUGAAUGCCACCUCAGUCAACACAGACAGACGUAGCCAUGCAGCCUACCAGCAGGACAUCCUAGACGUCUGUUUUUUUUUUGACAAAAGGGCAGCCCCCUUUCAACAUUCCAUUCCAAAAAGUAUAUUUGGCUUCCAAGAACUCUGUUUGGCAUGUGUAACUUUUGCGAUUGAAGCAUCUUGGAUGUUCAAAGUGCACGAGAAGUGAUGUAGAGAAUUUUUGACAGGAUUUUCUUACAAACCAAUAAAUUCGCCCCCAUUAAUGCACACCUCCAGGAGCGCCCCUGGACUUUCUGCACAUGCACCUCCGCAAAUAAAAAUCGUCAUAGCACCUACACAACCAGCUGCAUUGAUGAUGUAUUGCUCCCUGCUGGUCUUCAAUUUCACCCAUUCCUCUUCUGCUCCCCUCAUGACAAAGGAUACAAACACAGUGAUCACCUGCCCUUAAUUUCCAGCAUCCCUGCGCCCAUCCUCCACACAAUGAUUAUGAACCUGCCCUCCAGUCUAACCAAACCCAAGUCAGAAAAAGUUCUCAUCCUCCCCAUCUGUAUCCAGGAUCAAGAAAAACCUUGCUCUCUUUUGUUCUUAACACAAUAAAUUCCGCUUGCCAAGAAGCCCACCACCUAGAGAAUGUUUGCGCCAAGUUUCCAAAUUGACUAAAUCACCUCUGCGGCAAAUCUGCCAAAACAACAAUGAAAACCUUGCAGCAGAUGUUGUUCAAUUGUUCCAGGAAUGCCUUAAAACAGCUCUGAAAAUCUGCAACACCAAAACCAAAGCAAUACACAACAAACACUUCAGACCAGGCAAAUUAAUAAGCCGGAAUCUCUGUCAUCUACUAAAGCAGCUGCGCUAUCUGCAGCGCCAAUGGCCGCUUCUCCAAAGCUCCCAAAACGUAGAAGAACUCCUCCGGCGCAAUGGAAAUAGCUCUCACCAACUUCAAGCCUUAAAACAAGUGUGCAACUUCCUCAACAGAGACAGGAGGAACAAGCACCCUUCAAACUUGCCUGCAAUGGAUCAGAAUAAGAUCACCUACAUUGAUAUCCAUUGAGAAAUCAACAACAUAGACAUACAGCAAAAUGGUAAGCCUCACAAGAAUGCAAAGAAAAAGCUGCAGGAAAGCAUUGCUAAGCAUCCAUCCCGCGCGAGCCAUAAAAUUUUCAAUUAUGUCCAGAACUAAUCCCCCAAUCUUAUGGCACUGGAAGAUCCGCAUACCAAAACAGUCCAAACAGACCCAGCUGUCAUGCGCAUUGUCGUCCGCGCAUCAUUAAUGUCGCGAGUGCAGUGUGAACUGAGGGCCUCUGGGCCAAACUGUGUAUUAUUCCUAGUAAAGACAACCAGUGCAGGCCUGAGUGCACCAUGUGCAAACCAAUGUAGCGUAGGCCUGAGUGCACCAUGUGCAAACCAAUGUAAUAAUGCCUUUGCAGUAGUGUACGUGCCCUGUGGCAAACCAUAAGAGACGUCUUUGCUAUCUAGCCUUUAGCUUUGAGUGCAGGCUCAUCAGGGAGUAACAUGAUGUCAUUCCCCAUCUGAGUAGAACUCACUGUGCUGUUCAGUGUCAGUGUGUUACAGCUGGAGGGCUCGUCAGAGUCCAACAGCUUGUCCAAUAAACUGCAGGCCUUUCCAGUUUGCUGUGAGCAGCAACAAUUAUUAAUAUUAUUAUUGCUCUGUGCAAUUUUCCCUGCUGCCCAGUUUGGUAAUUUCGGUUUAUCACCUUAAUUUUUUUAUCUGUCGCUGUUUUCCACCUCUUUGAAUCUAAUCGUGCUAAGUGUGAGGGCCCGCACUGCACAACCUGACUCAGAGCCCACUGUUCAGCCAGGGAACGAGUGAUGAGUAGAACAAGGAGGAGUUCAAGCAAGGACCAUCAAGUCAUCAGCUAGUGCACUUCUACGUGCUACUGCCUUCACCGGUCAGGCACACCCUUCUAAAGGAAAACCUGUAACGACCAAUUUUAUGAAGAACCAGGCGCUGCUGUGAUGGACGCAGGCUGGUGCAACAUGUGAUGCUGGCACUCAUGGUUCUUGUAAUCCUGGGCUUGUGUUUGCUGUGCACUUGCGGAUAGCUGACAAUUGCUGAAAGCCUUUUAUGGUACAGCUGACAGAGGCAGAGAGAGGCAGAGAGCCAGCAUCAAGUCCUUACAUUUGUACACACAGCACAAACGUACCACCCAACGGGCAGCAACAAUAAUAAUGACUCACCCUACAAAAUUAUGACACCAGAGCAAUUUAUCCCAUCGCGCAACAAUAAUCUGAGUCAAAGCAAAGAUUUCCUGGGAGUAAGCAAGAGUCUCCUGAGGCGUAAACUAAAUCUCUGACAAUCUCCAAGAUGUUUGUUCUCAUUCACAAAAGUACUCAGAUGCAAGGACACACAAAGUCGUGACACAAUGAUGUUUGAUCAACGUUUGCCUUCUCGCAACAAGCAAAACAUUUAUUCAAAAUAAACAUAACACAAUUGCUCGAGUAUCUCACACAGAUAGCAAGUCUCCUGGCUCUGAAUGCAACGUUCUCUGGGCAAGUCCUCACUCCUAAUCAUAUCCAGAAUCCAAGGCCAUUGGCUGGGGGACUGCCAUACUAAUUGAGCCAGGUGCAGAUGUGUUGUGUCCUUCUUCACACUCCAAAUGUCUUCAGCAGGCUUGCUGUUGUAUGCCUGCUUGCAUCAAAACAUGCAGAAGCAAAAUAAAGGCAUGGAUGAAUGUCCAAAGCAAAGUGUCUUAGCUGGUAACUUAGCGCCUCAAAAGACUAAUCAGGUGAUAUGUUCUCUUGCAAGCUUGCAUGCAGAACUUUAAGAUGCAAAAUGCAAUCAUGGCCUGUGGCCCCAUCACUAGAAAAGGCUCCUCAUGCAAUAGAAUAGGUGUGCAGACAAACAGAGCAUGACCUCGCUGAUGCCACAGACUGUUACUUGCUGCUAGCAACGGUAUGUGCUACCAGUCUUUCAAGUUUCCACUACAGGCAGGAUGCCUGCAAACACAACGCUGGGAGAAGAGAAACACAAUUAUGGUCAUACAAAAUCUACACUUCACUAGGGAGUCUAGGUACACAGAACUGCAGGCUCAAACCCUCAGAUUUGUGUGGCUGUAGCUGUAACUCACUCAACGCCCAGCCUACUCUGUUGUACAAACUGAGGCCUGUGCAGCAUUCAUCACAGCUCAAGCCGAGGAGCAGGAGAGCAGCCUUGGCAGAAGGGGCAGCAAACCUCACUCCUCCUGUCCCACAUAUUCAAAGAGCACCUCCGGUGAGACAAAUCUUCUUGCCAUCUUUUGGGGCACUUUUGCCAUCCAUCCCUUCGCAGCACGAGCAUCCCCAGCCCUCACAUGAGCCGAGCAACACUCAUAAGCAUCAAGCUGCUGCUGUCCGACCUGUGCUGGCCUCGGAGGCCUCUUGCUUACGGUAAUACGGUUGCUGACGUGUCAACAAUCUUCCCGAAUCUUGUCUUUCCCGCCCUCCCUGCUGGCCUGUACAACCAGCUCAACCUUUCUAGCAGCAACCUGAGUUGCUGCACAACCUGGUCGGAGCCAAAGGGGACGCCCGGAGGCCACUUCCAGCAAAUCUCUGUUCAUCACACUUUUUGCACCACUCAUCACCUUGUCAUUUUCCCUCCUGCCCCUCUGCUUUCCUCAUCAACAGUUCUUCGGGCCUCCUAGGCCAUCGGUCACCUGUCGGCGCCCUCUGUCGGACGCCCUCGAGCUGCUGCACAUUUUUGCCUUCACUGUUGGGCUGUCCUAGGGGUCACUCAUUCCAUCUACCCUUUCCCUUUUUCCUACAUACUUGUUUACCCCUGAGAAGCUGGCCAGACAACCUCUGAGCAACUUUGGUGCCCCCAUGCCAAGCUGAGCUCAGCCUGGCACUGUCAACGCUUAGCAACUUAGCUGGCUACCCUGCUCAUGGUAUCGGUGAGUCUCCCUUUCUGGUUCUAGAGGUUCCUUGCAGUGCAGCAGAGGACAUUCUUGGUGCAGGUUCUUGGGGCCACCUGCUGCUCCUACCAGCUCCACCUCCCUGCUGGCCUGUCCUUGCUUAACCUCCGCCUCUCUCCUAUUCCGUCCGCGCAGCCUCCGCCUCUCUCCUAGUCUGUCCGCGCUUAACCUCCACCUCUCUCCUAGUCUGUCCGCGCUUAACCUCCGCCUAUCUCCUACUCUGUCCGCGCGUAACCCCCGCCCCACUGGUCUGUCUGCACUCUGUGCUGUGGGUCUACGGUCUACGGCAUCUCUCCUCAUUUUUCCGCUCUCACACUGGGCUACCUGGUCAACCCUUGUAGCUACUGUCCUGAACCCUCCUCAAUUCUGCACGCGUGCUGCUGACAACCAGUACCCUGCAUCUCUUCAGGGCCAGCUCACCCCUUUGUAUGACGGGCAGUAACUAGGGCGAGUUUUCUUUGUUGUGUGCAGCCACUGCAGUUAUUUCUGCUUUGACCAUUUCUUUGCAGGCACUCCCUGAUUGGCCUGAGGAACUGUUUCACGCGGUCCUGGACACUGCCAUUCCAGACUGCUAUGUCAGCUUCCUCUCCAACCGCUUCUUACAGGACUUUGCUUGUAUACGCUACUUAGCCGGCCUUUUACAAGCCCAGCCUGUCCCUCCGACCACCGACCCCUUCCGCUAAAUUUCCCCUGCCACUCUCAACGUGUCGCAUCUGGUCUACCAGACCUACGGCUUUGACAAGGCAGCUUAUAAGGAGCUUCAAGACUAGCUGCAGUCUGGACUAGGAGCUUCUCUCGCAACAUCACGAAUGAAACGAGUGACCCCAUCCCCACGUGUCGGGGCACAAGUCAUGUCUGAUGACUAUUCGCAGAUUCUCACUGAACUGAGGAAUAUGAACAACAACAACAAUGCUCGAUUCGACAAGAUGGAAGAGUUGAACACCUCCACUGUGAGGGAAGUGCAAAGACUUGCAUCGUCUCUUGAUUAUGCUAUACACGUUGCUGUAGAUGCGCAGAACCGGGCAAACCACGCUGAAAGCGAGCUGCACGCUGUCAAACAGCACCUGGCAUCAGUGGCUCCAGGGGAACUUGACAAGGUGAUUCGAUGGUAUGAAGAUACUCGCCGGGCUGAUAUAGAAUUCGAGGCCAUUUCUGGCAAUACUUUCAUCCAGGCCCCCAACAACAUUUCUGCUACCCCAGAGACCAUUGCCAACGCUCUCAACACCGACAAACCUGUGAUCCAGAAAAUGAACCGACACAACCAACCAACAAACUCCUUCCGAGUUAUUGUCGGCCCAAGAGGUCGCGAGGGCACUGUUGCCGUCAACAACUUUCUCCCUGCUGCCCAACACCGAGCACCACAAGGAUACAAAGUUCAACGCGAGAAAACCGUUCUGACCAUCCAGCGUGAGAAAGCUGUACGUCAAAUAAAAACUGCGGUCCGACAAGUGCUAUCCACCCAACCAACACUGCAAGAUUUCACUACACACGUUGGGAGCAAUGGAUGCAGCCUCUUUAUUUCCCACGCUAAUAGGAAGGAUGCGAUGGAUCCCACCAAGGCAGACGCAGCAGCUUUUGAAUACCCAGUCUGGGACCACGUCCCAUAUCACAAGACGAUGAACAACUUUCGAGGUGGCUUUGACUAUCAGCACACCCAACACUUAAAACACACAAAUAUCUUAUCACGUAUCCAAGCCGCUUUGCCUAAUAGCCUCGACACACAGAUGGCCGAUGCAUCUCCUCAACCUAUCAGGCCUUCUCGAACAACACCACAGAGGCCAGUUACAAACAACAACACCAACAGCAACAAUGCCAUCAACAACAGCAGUAUUCCUAUCUAGGGAGUUGGCCUUCAGUCAAAACUCAGGCUUCUACUACUAAAUUGCGAUGGAAUACCUGAGAAUACCGAAUCAUUAAAGAUGGAAGAACUCGUCCUCAAUCUCCAACAACACCAUAUAAUAGCAUUAACGGAGACAAGAACUAAUGACAUGAAUCGGAUCCUCCAAUUUCUGCCACACCAUGUUGUUAUUGGGAAUAGAUAUAUACCCUCAUCUUUUUCUGAGCGCAAAGGGCAAGGGGUUGCAUUGAUAGUCUUCAAAGCUAUUGCCAAAUACUUUACCUUUUUAGGUGUUUCUCCUACUACCCAGACGAUCUACGCAUGCUGUGAAUCUCACCUGUUUGGGAAAGAACAGCCUGUGGUUUUUGCAGUCACAUACAUUGCUCCGGAGCAAAGCGAAGACAGACACAAUCUGACUUCCCAAUACCUUCACCUAGGACAAGAACUCCAGCAGUAUCUGUCCUCAUUCUCUCCACAUCUUAUUGUAUGCGGGGAUUUCAAUGCUCAUAUUGGCGAUCGGGAUGAAAUUACUGAUGCUCAUUUUGACCUUUUCAAUGCGUGCCCAUCCCUAUUAUCUGAGCGACGAGCUCGAUGUCUUGACGUUAAUAGGGCAGGACAGUAUUUAAUUCAUUUGGCUUCUACGCUGGGCCUCACUUUAACCACUGGAAGAGUACCUGGGGAUAAGGGACAACCAACCUUUGUUGGCUACAACAAGACGUGUGAAAGUAGACCUGAUCAUAUACUUACGUCCAGAUCAAUGUUUCCUCACAUCAAGAACACAAAAAUUACUAUCCCUAGACUGUUGGACCACUGUUAUCUUUCUGUGUCUUUAUCCAUGACCUCCAGUAUCCCAGGUGUUGAUUUCAGAUUGUAUAGAUAUCCCGUGUAUGGUCCCCACUUAAACUUCCUGAAAUGGAAACCUGAAAGGAGUAAUGACUAUGUCACUUUUCUUGAUCAAGACACCCUUGCACAACAGAAGUUUUAUCAUAUGAUUGCGGCGGACAAUGUGGAACAUGCUUGGUCAGAACUUAAGAACUGGAUCUUACGCGCUGCUAUUCACUCUGGAAUGACCACGGCAGGAACUCACACACGUCCACCUUCAAGAUGUACACCACAAGCAGAGUGGUUUGACAGAUCCUGUCUUCAUAAAAAACAGACAUAUCUAGAUGCUGCAUACCGUGGGACAGAUCCCGACAUUAAAAAUCAGUUAUUCCAUGAUUACAGAUCUUACGCCCAGUAUUGCAAGAGACGCUUUUUCAAUAUGAAGCGGCGUACUUUCUUGCAAAAACUAUUUGACAAUGAUCCAACUGUCCACAGGAUGCUUAAGAAGCCUGCUGAAAAGUACGUCACUCCUGUAUCUGAAGACGCUUGGUCAUCACACCUUCACGCUGUGUUCCGACCCACAUCUUUUCGUUGUGAUGAAGAGGAAGUUGAGAGAAGAGACACAGUACAACAGCCACCAGCAGCCACAGCAACUGAUUCAAGGGUGCCCCCCAUCCAACAUGAUGCCAACGAACAGGGACUCAAUGAUUUGCCUCAGGAGCCCUCAUCACUUUUCGGUAUUCCUAAUGAAACAGAACUUUUCAGGUUGGUUUCUUGGCAUAUCUCUUCAAUGCCGUCUCAUUCCUCCUCGGGCUUUAAUGUCAUUUCCCCAGCCUUUAUUAAAAACGCUUACAAAUGUGUACCCAGACAGCAAGGUAGAGGGACAGAAAAUAUUCAUGUGUUGGCACCACCUCUAGCUUCCUUUUUUCAUCUACUUAUUCGGAAAGCACGUGUUCCAGAUGCUUGGAAGGAAGCUAAACUCACCCCAAUCUACAAGAAGGGCCCCGUUGUUUCUCCAACUAAUUAUAGGAUGAUAGCUGUGAGCGCUCCUAUCUACCGGUUGUACACUAAUGUCCUGAGAUCCAUUAUUCAGGAUUGGUGUAUCCACCACAGGAAAUUCUUGAUACACAAUAUGGAUUUUAUCCAGGAAGAAGUACCCUUCAACCACAUCCUACAACACCUGAAAAACGCAGCCCAAAAAGCUCGGAAUGAUACCUCCAGAUUGUUUACAGCAUUUAUUGAUUUUCAGCAAGCGUACAAUUCUGUUCCUCGGGAAAAGCUGUGGAAACAUUUGUAUCAUUGUCGUCUACCUCACCAACUCAUUGCUAUUCUCCAGGAUCUGUAUCACAUGGAUGUAUAUACUCCGCUUGAUGGUGACAAAAUGGCUAGUGUUCAGCCAGUGUGUGGGGUUAAACAAGGAUGUCCUCUAUCACCUCUUCUUUUCGYAAUUUAUCUCAACGAYAUUGAUACUGUYGCAGARGGUGUACAAGGUGCUCUGACAGCCAYCCCAAAUUUAACGGUGACMCAUUUACUUUUUGCUGAUGAYCUGGCUUUUACAGCAAACARGCAACCAAGUUUACAAAAACUUCURAACAACUUGAAAGACUAUGCCAUGAGGAAAUCUUUGGUUGUYAAYACGCASAAAUCCCAAGUGAUGUGUGUAAAUUCCAGGUCUGACAAUCUGCCGACUUUUUUCUAUGAUGGGUCACCCUUACCUUACACUGACCRUUUCAAAYAUCURGGGAUGGUGAUUGAUAAGCAAUUUCAUCUUUCRACAGCAGCAGACGCAGCCUUACAGCCUCUGGUGAAUGGGACUUUCAAAAUACAACGCUUUGCUCAGGAGCACGGUCUAACCAACCGACUUCAUGCUCUCAUUUGGUUACUUAAGACUUACUCCAUUCCUGCUGGUAUGUAUGCAAGUCAGAUUUGGGCAACCCCCUUCCUUAAGCAAGGUAAAGAAAUGGACGACCCAUUACAAAAAUGGAUUAUUGCAACACUUAAAAGGUGGCUGGGUGUCAGAGAUACAACUCCUUCUUGGUCUGUGCUGCGAGAGUGUGGGCUUGAACCGCUACAACUCAAUUGGYUCCGAGCAGCUAUUCGUCUGUACAACUCGUUUACACAAUGCAAUAGCAUCACGGUCAGAAAGGUCUUACAGGCGGAUAUCUGUUUAUCUUCUUCCUCUUGUGACUGUUGGUCUUCACACAUAAUUAAUGCCAUGGAUGGAUUGCAUCAUGCUAGUCAAUUCAAGCACAACAUAAUGAAUUGUGAACCAAUCCACCUUCGACAAUUUGUGGUUGACCUCAGAUCCAGACAGGUUCAUUAUUGGACUCAAUUCUCCGGCCCCACUCCCAGACAGCGGAAUAGCAAACACCGUACUUAUCAUCAUUGGUGUGUGAUACCUAUCCGCAACAUUGUAGCCACCCAGGCCCCUUAUCAAACUCCCAAAUAUUUCUACCUUGCCCUUCCCAACGAUGUUCUUUGCAAUGUUGCCCGCUUUAGGCUUCGUGUCCAUACUCUUCAGUAUGAAACAUCUACUUGGAAUCAGGGUUCUUCCUCUCAUUGUGAUUUAUGUCAGGAUGUAGAUUGUAUCCAAGAUGAAAAACAUGUUAUUUUUCACUGUACUCACCCCCAUGUCGUUGCAUUGCAUGCUAAGUAUGCCUUCCUAUUCAAUAAUCAGGAGGCUCAAAAUGUUCGUAAUUUUCUUCUUCAAGAUAAUAAUAAACUUGCUUAUUUUAUCCAUGAAAUUGUUACUUUUUAUGAACAGGCUAGCAGUCGUGCGUUUUGACUGAAGGCCUUUUUCUUUCCUGUAACCCUGUAACCCUGUAACCCUAGCUGCAGUUCCACAACUACGGCAUAGCUGCUGCAUACCUCUCUUGCCUCAACCAGGCAGGGAACAGGUACCCUGAGCUGCCACCAAACCCCACAACCCAGCCUCCUUUGCCCGCACCUCCCGCAGCACAAGCCCCUGUACAACCAGCACUUUCUCCUCCUGUGCCUUUCCACCCCUUCUGCAGCGCCGUGAGCAACAACUUCUUUCAUCGCGUGAGACGCCUGUGGGUGAGACUGAGCCUGUUAAAAGGCCAACACCCCUCUACAGUUACAGUUACAGUUACAGAGAAGAAAGGCCUGCAGUCAAAUCGACUGACUGCUAGCCUGUUCAUAAAAAAGUAAAAGUUCAUGCAGGAAAGGAUAAAGUUUAUUAUUGUUUUGGUUCAAAAAACAUCGCAUGGCAAUCGGUGGAACAUGGUGAGAUGCAUGCAGGAAAGGUGCCGCUUGAGAUUCUGGAGUUGCGAGGGAAAGGGCAUGUUCAUUAAACAAGGAUGCAUAUUUCCUUCUAAGAUUGCAAACAUGAGGGUGAGUACAUUUAAAUAGCACAUGUUGUUCAUCCUGAACGUCAUCGUGAGCAUCACACAGAUCGCACUUAGUAUCAAUAUUUUCAUUCCAGUAGUUUAGCUCAAUCCUCAAAAAAUGAACACGUAACCGAAAGCAGGCAACACUGCGUAAAAUAUGUGUGGGCAGAUCCAAAUGGAAGUACUUGGGCAAACAACAUAGGGAGAAGGUAGCAUGAGCGUCACGUUGUGGAAGGGCACACCAAUGAUGGUAGGUGAACGUUUUACUGUUUGUGUCAGGUUCCCGUGGCUGACGAGCAGUAAAAAAGGGUUGCUGCCAGAAUGCCAAAUGACGUUUCCAAAGGUCUACAACAAGUUGACUCAGAUUCAGAGGACUGCCAUUGAUAAUAUGAUGAUGGUAAGAUGGAGUAUGCCUAAGACCUUGUGUACCAAGCAAGAGAUGAGAAAUCCAGCAUGCAGGAUGGAAUUGGCUGAGUGAAAUGUCUGCCUGAAAAACCUUACGAAGGAGAGGGCUAUUACAAAAAAUGAGGUUGUUGUAAAGGCGUGCACAUGCUCGAAGCCAAUUCAAUUGCAUGGGUUUUAAGCCACAUUCCUGUAACACACUCCAUGAAGGUGUAGAAUUCCUGACCCCUAGUAUGGUGCGUAAAAAUUGUAAGAGCCACUUUAGAAUGCAAUUUUCCAUCUCUUGACCCUGUUGCAGAUAGGAAGUGGCCCAAAUCUGAGAAGCGUACAUGCCUGCUGGGAUGACAUAAGUUUUGAAUAACCAGAGAUACGCAUGUAAACGAUGAGUGAGACCAUGUUGUUGAAUAAAAGUACGCAUUCUGGCCAUGCUUGCCAGGCACAGCUUGAUAGCCUCCUCUGCAGCUUUGUUCAGAUUAAACUUCUUGUCACAAAACAUGCCUAGAUAUUUGAAAUGCUCAGAGAAAGGCAGUUCCUCAUUGUUGUACAGGAGAGUAGGCAUAUUGUGACCCUGCGAAUUAAAACACACCACAACAGAUUUCUGUGUGUUGACGGUCAGGAAGUUGUCACGGGAGUAUGUGGAAAGGCGAUUCAGCAUUUGCUGUAAAUUGGACGGGGAGUUAGAAGUGAGGCACAGGUCGUCAGCAUAAAGGAUAUGGGAGACAGCAAGGUUGGGAAUUCCUGUACACGCGGCUGGGAUAUCAUGAAAGAUGCUAGGGAUGUCAUUCAGGUAUAAGGAAAAGAGCAAAGGAGAUAAGGGACAACCUUGUUUGACACCAUGUGUUGCUUUGAUACGCGCGUGUUUGUCUCCAUCAACCAAAAUGUAUUCAUCAUCUUGGUACAGAUUCAUAAGAAUAUGAAUGAAAUGUGAAGGCAGUCGACACUUCUGUAAAUGUUGCCAGAGUCGAUGUCUGGGUACAGAGUCAUACGCUUGCUGAACAUCAUUAAAGGCAGCAUACAGACGAGAAGAGUGAUGUGGUUGAUGAAUUUGUGCAGCAUUCCUCAGAUGACAGAGAAAAAAGAGUGGGUGAAGAGUACUGCGCCCAGGAUAAAAACCAAAUUGAGAGUCAGGUAUUGAAUGAGUUUGCUCACACCAGUCUUGCAAAAGGGUACGAAGCACAUUGGUAUAAAGGCGAUAAAAGGUCCCACUUACAGCAAGCAUGCGGUAAUUACUGGCAUGUACAAUGGAACCUUUUUCACACAGAGGGGUGAGUUUAGUAGUCUUCCACUCUGAAGGUAUGGAGGCUUUAAUAAAAAGCAAAUGAAAAAAGGUUGAAAUGAUUGGUGUCAGAACAUUGGUUUGUUGGAAGGCUCUGCCGUCAUCAUGCCUAGCCACUGUGCAAGCAUACUUGAGAAAAGCUGGCAAAAUAGAGUCAAAUCCUGGUGAUGAGCUACCGUUGAGGCGUGAAAUGUGGAGCGCCACAAUCUUAUGUAUUUGACUCUCGUCAGGAAGAGGAAAACUAUCAGAAGAGGGCGCAUCGUCUUGUGACUGGUGGUGCCCACUAAGGGAAGGAACAGUAUGUGCAUGAAGUGAAGAAGAGGAGCUCGUGGAUCGUAGGAAAACUUUAGACAGAUGUUCCUGCCAUGCUGGAAGGGACACGGGUGUGGUAUGUUUGACAGGUUGUUGUCUCAAGAAAGAAUGAACAGAUGGAUCCUUGCGGUAAAGUUUGUCCAUGAAAGCAGCAGCGCGCGCAUGGGUAAAUCUGUGUUUUGCCCGUUGUACUUGCGCCUUGUAUUGGCGAUGAAGUUGUUGGCAAGCAUGCCAGGCUAGCCCAGAUUUAACUGCGAGAAGAAACUCUUUCUUUCUGGUUGCACAUUCCAGAUCAAACCAAAAGGGUCGUCUAGAAGUUGAACGAGGAAAAGUUGACCUGGAUAUAGUCAUGCCCACUCGAGGGUCACACGCUGUCUGUAUAAUCCAAGAUUUGAGCUCCUACUAUGACGAAUCAACAUCUUGUGCCUGAAUAUGAUGUAAAAAAAAGUUACGUUUCUCGUCAUUGUUACGGAGGAUUUGAGCAAAAAGGGUGGCGCGAUCCGGUCGCCAUCUUAAGAGAAAUUCUUGACAUUGUGAGGGUAAAAGAAAAUUACAUAUGGGUGAUUGAAGUCUCUUAUCUAGAUGCCCUGUUGGACUGGAAGAGGGGACAAAAAAAUUGGAUAGAGCGGCGUGGUCAAAACAUACAGGAUGUGAUUUUAGCACCGUGCAAUAGCGAGAACACCCCUCUACUCACCCAAAGUCCUCUGACCCCUCAGCUGCUGCCCCCCUAGGCAAGUCAACCUCUGCCCGCACUGACCGCUGUGCCCCAUCAGAAACACGCAGGGUCCAGCCCCCGGCAAGCACCAGGCACGACACCCCAGAGCGUCGCCCACCACUCAGGCCCAAGCGCCAACCAUCUUCCUCACCUAGCUCCUCAUCCUCUUCCUCAGGUGGUUCCUCUCGCAGGUCCAGCUCACUUGGGCGUCAAGAACGCAGCAGACACACCCCUCACAAGAAACCUAAACCCUCUGCAACUCCGCCUGCACGCGCGCCUGCCACUGGUCAACCACCGCCCGCAGGCUACCCCACUGCACUCACUCCUAGACCUGUGACAGGGUUUGAACAGACCCCACGGCAACAGCCUCAAGGCUCUGCUGGAUGCCCUGACCAGGAAGAACCACUAGACUACGGCCCUGCGCCUGACCUCCAGGUCACAGCAACUGGCUCUCUAGACUUCUCACAAAGCCAGGAGCAGCCACCCGCUGCACCAGAGCCUCAUCCCACACCCCACGCCACCGCACAGACCCACGCAGGCACAACUCCAACUCAGCCUGGCACAACGCCUGUAGGUCAGACGAACACAGGUACAGCUGGUGCCCAACCCAACAUAGCCACUGCUGACACCGGUCCUGCCUCGACUGCUGGUGCUGGCUUGCCCUUCCCUGUCAACACUGCCCCUGCUCUGCCUCCUGCCGCUGGACCUGGCCAACCAGCUGCUGCCCCUGCUGGCACAACAGUGUUUCCUGGCUCUGCUCCACCGCCCUCCAACGCUGGCCACACCCCACCUCAGUCUGUGGUAUACCCUAUUGAAGCCGCAGCUCAUCUCGUUUCCAACCCGCACAGCCCUGUCCCCUUUGUGCCUCACAGCGUCCACAUCACCAUCCAACCUUCAAACCAGGGUCAGGCGGCAUUGGCACAGUUGCGUGAAGUGCACCAGAAUACGUGUAACUACGUGCAGCAGCAGGUUAACAGCUUGAUGGAUGGGCAGUGCAUCGUAAUUGUGUCAACUGAGUCUACCCAGGUCAGUGGGCUUCUCCAUUAGCUUUAGACACCAUUGACCCUGCAGCUAGACGUCUCUCCGGUAUCAUUAGCACAGGUGUGCAAGGUAAAGCGCAACAGGUGCACUCAUCCCCAAUCAAUCUACCGCCACCUGAGCCCAGUGUUUUCCUGCCAUCUCCAGCACAUAGCGCGCAUCACUCUGCCCCCAACUCCUCUCGUGACAACUUCCUGACCGUCAACACACAGAAAUCUGUUGUGGUGUGUUUUAAUUCACAGGGUCACAAUAUGCCUAAUCUCCUGUACAACAAUGAGGAACUCCCUUUCUCUGAGCAUUUCAAAUAUCUUGGCAUGUUAUGUGACAAGAAGUUCAAUCUGAACAAAGCUGCAGAGGAGGCCAUCAAGCCUUGCAUGGCGAGUAUGACCAGAAUACGUACUUUUAUCCAACAACAUGGUCUCACUCACCGUUUACAUGCGUAUCUUUGGUUAUUCAAAACUUAUGUCAUUCCAGCCGGCAUGUAUGCUUCUCCGAUUUGGGCCACUUCCUAUCUGCAACAGGGUCAAGAGAUGAAGAAUUGUAUUCAAAAGUGGCCCUUGCAAUUUUUACGCACCAUACUAGGGGUCAGGAAUUCUACACCUUCAUGGAGUGUGUUACGGGAAUGUGGCUUGGAACCCAUGCAAUUGAAUUGGCUUCGAGCAUGUGCACGCCUUUACAACAUUCUCAUUUUUUGUAACAGUCCUCUCCUUCGUGAGGUUUUUUAGGCGGACAUUUUACUCAGUCAAUUCCAUCCUGCAUGCUGGGUUUCUCACUUCUUGCUUGGCAUACAAGGGCUCAGGCAUACUCCGUCUUAUCAUCAUCACAUCCUCAAUGGCAGUCCUCUGAAUCUGAGUCAACUUGUUAUAGAUCUUCGGAAGCGUCAUUUGGCAUUUUGGAAGCAACCCUUUUUUACAGCUCAUCAGCCUCGGGAACCUGACACGAACAGUAAAACGUUUACCUACCAUCACUGAUGUGCCCUUCCACAACGUGACGCUCAUGCUACCUUCUCCCCAUGUCGUUUGCCCAAGUACUUCCACUUGGAUCUACCCAGACGUAUUAUACACAGUGUUGCCCGCUUUUGGUUACGUGUCCACCUUUUGAGGAUUGAGCAAAACUACUGGAAUGAAAAUAUUGAUCCUAAGUGCAAUCUGUGUGAUGCUCACGAUGAUGCUCAGGAUGAGCAACAUGUGCUAUUUAAAAGUACUCACCCGCAUGUUUGCAACCUCAGAAGGAAAUGCGCAUCUUUGUUUAAUGGACAUGCCCUUUCCCUCUCAACUCCAGAGUCCCAAGCGGCACCGCUCCUGCAUGCAUCUCACCAUGUCCCACCGCAUGCCAUGCGAUCUUUUUUGAUUCAAAACAAUGAUAAACUUUAUCCUUUCCUGCAUGAAAUAUUACUUCUUUACAGGGUUAGAGGAAAAAAAGGCCUUCAGUCAAAAUGCGCGACUGCUAGCCUGUUCAUAAAAAGCAACAAUUUCAUGAAUAAAAUAGACAAGUUUAUUAUUAACUUGAAGAAGAAGAUUACGUACAUCUUGAGCCUUUUGGUUAUUGAAUAGAAAGGCACACUUAGCACGCAAUGCAACGACAUGAGGGUGAGAACAGUGAAAAAUUGUCAUGCCACAUAAGUGCGGCAUCUGAUUCACCAACUUGGUUUGACUAUCCACUAACAUUCCAGAGGCUGAUCCAGAGCAGGUUAACAGUAUUGAAGAAGUGGGUUUAACGUCCAGAGGCUAGGUAACUCUAGCACAAAGGACAGCUGCCAAAUCCUGAGCAGCUUGACUUACUCUGCCUACCUGAGGCUUGCUUAGCUAAUUUCCUGGCUGGAACCUGACAAACACGAUACGUUACCACACUUUGGGCUGCCACACCAGUCCCCUCCCCAAGGGCUGAUCGGCCUUAGCCGGGCAUACUCACGAUGGCGGUCUUCUCACUUGAUGAGUAAUGAAUACAACCAAAGCCAGAAACACGGAAGUCUUCAAUACUGGCUGUGCCAGUCUCUCAGCCACCAUAAAUAUCAGGUUCAACGACCAACCGCCAAUCUGAAGGUCAGCAGCAAUAUAGCAAUGACAAAAAUCUCGCGUGACAAAAUAACAUGAUUUUCAUCUUGAAUACGAUCUACAUCCUGACACAAAUCACAAUGAGAGGAAGAACCCUGAUUCCAAGUAGAUGUUUCAUACUGAAGAGUAUGGACACGAAGCCUAAAGCGGGAAACAUUGCGAAGAACAUCAUUGUGAAGGGCAAGGUAGAAAUAUUUGGGAAUCUUAGAAGGGGCCUGGGUGGCUACAAUGUUGCGGAUAGGCAGCGCACACCAAUGAUGAUAAGUACGGUGUUUGCUAUUCCGUUGCCUGGGAGUGGGGCCGGAGAACUGAGUCCAAUAUUGGACCUGCCUGGAUCUGAGGUCUACCACAAAUUGUCGAAGGUGAAUUGGUUCACAAUUCAUUAUGUUGAUCUUAAAUUGACUAGCAUGAUGCAAUCCAUCCAUGGCAUUGAUUAUGUGUGAAGACCAGCAGUCACAAGAGGAAGAAAAUAAACAGAUAUCCGCCUGCAAGACCUUUCUGACCGUGAUGAGUGAAAGAAAAGAAAAGAAAAGAAAAACUGCGUAGGCAGAGAAACUCCCCCUACAUCAAUUAAGGAAAAGGAGACACAUUGGCUCCGAAGAGCCGUGAGUCUCCCCCACCACAAGGAAAGAAGGAAAAACAAGUGGGGAUCAGGUGGGUUUCUAGAGGCACAAGGCCCUAGAACCUGGCUGUGGGAAGUAACAUUGUUUGCAAUGGCACGUCUGGUGGUAACAAGUUUGUGAGCGUAAAUAGCGGAAUGGGCAUUCAGGCUACAAGCAAGUUUAGUGGCACGUUCGUGGCUCAGACCAAGCUUUUUGAAUUGAUUGAGGGUUUGCUUGAUGUAACUUGUUCCGCCAACGCCCAGGAGAAUGGGGUGAAUAGUGACACUUUUAGCAUCAAUGAGUUUGCUCAAAUGUGCAUGUUGUUGCUUAUCUUAGCCGCCGCCAAUUUAUGCUCGGGUCUCGUAUCCUCACAGUACUUUAUUUCAAUCAGGUGCACAUGCCUUUGGUUGGGAGCUAGAUGGUGAGGCUGUCUCACUCGGCUGGCCGUGCUGGUCCUCUGCAUGUUCCUGUGCCUGUUACGCAACAUAUAGCGUGAGGGAGAGUCAGAGGAUGAAGAAGGAGAAGAAGAAUUGGGUUUGGCAUUAUAAGGGGUGAUUAAGAUAGCAUCAGGACGGCUGGUAGUGAGUCUAGAUCUCUCCAAAAUGUUUCGAGGAAAUCAGUAAUCAGGUAUAGUUCUGUUUGAAGCAUGAGCAGGAAGUUGAAGAUAAUGCUGUGCUAGCCGUUCAUGUUUUCCUACAUCUGUAUAAAUCAAGCCUGCUCCACGAGGGCUUUUGCUAAGAGCUUUUAUGAUCAUUCUGCCAUUAUGACGUUCAGUUUUCAUGUUAGAGAUGAUAUGAUUUUGGCAACCAGAGAGCAUGUGGAGAGCGCUAUCUAGUUGUUGACAGCCUGGGAAAGGGCAAAGAGGGUCAGUGGAUCGUUUAAAGCGCACGGCAUGUUUUUGAUUAUAGAGGGUGCCAGUACGAUAUUGAAAAAUGGUGCGCUUUACAGAAAAAAAAAAAGAAAAGAAAAGGCUACGCAGUCUUGAGGCCGCGUGCAUUAAGGGAAGAAACCCUAACAAAAGUUAGAGGCCUCACCAAGAGGCCCUACAGGAAAGGAUAUUCCAGGCAUGGUCCUGAAGGCAUUACUGAUCUUCUUUUCAACUUGGGGUAGCAAACUUUGAUAGUAAGGGUAGUAACCUAUUUUGGUAUUGGCAUAUCCAAGCUUGUGUUUAGAGUGCAUGUGUAGCUGGAGUGCAGCGUGGAGGUUGGAAAGGUAUGUGAGUUUUGAAGUGUGUACAGGGGCUAUGGAAGUGCUCGCGGCAUGUUCCCUUGUUUCCUCCUUGGCUAACCAAAAAAUUCGUGAGAAAGGGUUUCCGGCAGGGCCUGCACAGGGGAUUUCAGUAUCCGCCACACUGUUGUUUGCUUUGUCAGCCUGAUACUUUGCUAUAGCAUCUGCACAUUCAUUCCCGGAAAUGCCUGCAUGGGCUUUUACUUUGCGAACAUAAAUUUUGACAUGAGAGUUCUUAAUAAGAGUUAAUAUAAUUCUGAGGAUAUCUCCUUGGAUGUGCUCCCUGUGCUUCUCAGGAUACAAAAUUUGUUUGCCUAUUUGACAAGAAGAAAUGAGGCUGUCUGUUCCAAUGUGUGCAUGGCAGUGGGUGAUGGCAGCAGUAACACCUGCUAAUUCUGCUCGGGGUACGUUGUUUGUGAUUCCAGCACCAUUUGGCUCUACAAGGAUUUUGCUGUCAGACAGGGGAUGGUACACGCCUACCCCUAUUCCUUGCUUUCCAUUUCGGGAAUGACAGCUGCCAUCAGUGUACGCCCAUGUCCUCCAGUCUGGGACUUUGAGGGCAAGGUUGGGGUUCAGCAUACAAGCCGCCCUGUUCAGCAUACAAGCCGCCCUGAUGCUCUAUUUGUGCGGCACAUCCCAGGCAGGCAAGCCCAACUUGAUCCUACCAAGAUUCCACCGCAAGAUAGAGACAUUGACCUUGUUGAACUUAAAUUCUGCUCUGACACUAAUCCUGCCAGCGCCUUGGAGCGUGCACAAACUCAACAUUCCCACACCAUUAGCAGACUUAAAACACGCAGCUUAAGAAACGCAAACAGGAAUAAUAAAGUAACUUUGCACACCAUCUUAAUUGGUGUUGGUCAGGGAAGUUCAGGGGGGUCUGAGAAAUUUCGGGUCCACCCGAAGGCCUGUUUAAAAAUUUUCGGGUCUACCCGACCUGCCUUUCAAGACCUUCGGGUUUAGGUGCUAAAAAAAAAAACCGGCCGGGGGCUGACGCCCCCGGCCGGGUGAGUGCGAUGUGGAGUACUAAUUUAUUUGAGCCUACCUUCUUUCACCAUUACCUUCCCUUUACCGCCAGCGCCGUACCCCUGAGCAUGGGCGACCCCGGGAAUUUCCGGUAUUCUCAUUCGGACUUGCGUCGACCUCUCAGGAGGUCGGGGGUUCGAGCCGCUUAGAUGCCCUCGAAGGCAUAAACAGCGGAAACACUUCCUUCCUUCCUUCCUUCCAUUACCUUUCAAAGAAGAUCUUGUAUACCCAUACAAAUUAUUUCCAAAUUUCUUCAUCCCAAAAUUCCUUCUUGUUUACCCAUACAACUUAUUUCCAAAUUUCUUCAUCCCAAAAUUUCCUCCUUUUCAUAUACCCACCAUUUUCUUUUAACACAGGAGGGGAAUUUUGAUUUCAAUCCAUGGGAAUUUUUUUGGACUGCUGCAUGGCAGCUGCAUGUCAUAGGAGGGGGCUGCAGUUUGCUGCAUCACAUGUGUUACAAUUGCCAAAAAAUGGAGGGUGUAAUGAAUGCAAAAAAAAAAACAAAGGUGUCCACAUUUACAGAUCGUCCAACUCGGUUGCUGCCGCAUUCACACCCAAGUCCAUCAUGCUCCCCUCCUCAUUCAGAUUGCUGAGGCCAAAGCAAUCCGUUCCAUCAUCAACUUCUCCAUCCUCCUCCUCCCCUUCACUCAUCCAUGCUCCCACAUCAUCUUCUUCCUCAAUCUCAUCUUCCUUGGACAUAUCUAGAUCUGGCUCUACACCUUCAUCUACUCCAUCAGCCAGCAAGCCCAAUUCAAUAUCAUCAAUUCUCUUAAACAGAUCCCGCAAUUUCAUAUCCUCCCUUGAGCCAACAGGGACGUAAUUAUGUAUUCUGGCAGCAGCUGCAAAAUCAAAUGAUUGCAAAGGUUGCCCCAGGGUGAGCAACUUGAUGCGCAACAAAGAAUCAAGCGUCAUGAUUUUCAGACGAUUAGUCAACCUGUUUUUCAAGAUGCGGUGCAAACUGAAGCCACGCUCAACAACAGCAGUUUGCACAGGUGUUAAGAACAUUAUGUUAGCAAAAAUAAUCAUUUUUGAAUACACUACUGCAUCAGGGCUAUUCCGCAACAUGCCCCACACUGCCACCGGAUCAACAAUUUUAUAUGUAUUCACCAAUGUAUGCAUUGCUUGCUUCAUGACCAUAAAUUCAUGUGCAAUGCUAGCCCCAUUAAAAUCAAACAAUUUCUGUGAACCCCUCUCUUUGCCACAGAAGUGCGCGAGCAAGACUUUAAAGCUCUCCCAGCCAAACUUCUCUAGGCUCUCAACAGGCAUAUUCAAGUAAAAACUGGGAAUAAAAAUAUGAAAGUGCCCCAGCAAAGCGCAGCUCUCAAACCGCUCUUUAAACUUUUGUACAAUAAACUUGGCUAAAUUCCUCAUCUCCCUCUGCAAAACAAGCAAACUGCACUUCCUCAUUUUAAAUUUGAAUUGAGGGCUUGGAAUCCACCAGCCAUCCUUUUUCACUCCCGCACAAAAGGCUUUAAAACGGACCAAAUGUACACUUUUUAAAUCCUCUGCAGAAACAAACAUUUGUUCAAGCUGCUGCACUGUUCUGUUUACAUGAUGUACAACUUCAUGAGGCAGAAUACUGUCUGACUGAAGCUCUUUGCACAGAAUAACAACAGGUUGCAACAUAUCUAAGACCAAGAACAAGGUACUCACUGCCUUUAAGCUCAGCAACCUCUUUUUCACCCUUACAGCGACAGGCCAAGAGCGGGGAUUAUUUGUUGCAGACUGAUCAUUAUACUGACUCAGGAAUGCAAGCAGAACUGGCAGGUUGGAACACAAGACAUCCAAGCACUCUGCUCGGCUGAGCCAGCGCGUAGGCACAUACAACGGAAACUUCAAGCGUUGCACACCUCUUGCCUUGGCAAAAUCUUCCCAUUCUUGCUGACGCUUAUGGCUUUUACUAAAUAAAUUGUGCACAGCCUUCAACAAGCUGUCCACAAGCUGCAGACAUUCAUUUUCUUUCCCGGCAUCAUUCAUGACUAGCGCAGUCCUGUGUGCUGUACAGUGAACACCAACUAUAUACGGGCACAGCUUUUCCCUCAACUGCUGCUGCACACCAGUGUGCAGCCCCAUGUAAUUAGAUGCACCAUCCGUACACAUUGAAAUAAGCUUUUGCUUAUCUAUACCCAAGGCCUCAAGAAUGCCAAGCAAAACGCUGUAAUGGUGACUUGCAUCGUCUGCUUUUGCGCUGACGCAGCACAGAAAUACAGUGACAAAAGCAAACGUGCUAGCAUCCAGAAACCUGAUAUACACCAUGAUGUGGUUCUGCGUGCUUAUAUCAGUCCCUCCAUCACAAAGCAAAGCAUAAAAAGGACUUACAUUAAUUCUUGCAAUUGUGGCGCUUAAUAAGACUUCGCUACAAGCAUACAUAGAAGACCAGAAGUACCUACGAUGGUUGUAUUUGUGCAAAAUUUUACUUGUGCAUGCCAGGGAAAGGAGCUGCAAAAGAGAUGCAAACUUCUGCCCAGGAACACCCUCUUUAAUGAGCCACAAGGCAGCCAUGAGCAUCGUAGGAAGCACACUGAGCACGGUAGACUGUUGCUUGUCAUGCAUUUUUUGCAAGCCACCACCGAUGCUGCCUACCCCACCAGCACUUGCAAUUGCGGUAUUCUUGGCUUGUAUGUGUCCAGCGGAGGACUCAUGGUCUCUCAGGACACCCGCAUCUCCAAUCACAGCACCAUGGCCACCAUCAACUUUCCCAGCAAACUUGGAUGCAGACUUGCUAUGCUCACGACAUAUGGUGCACACGCCUUUUGGAUGGCCAUACUCAGACUUUUUGCCCGUAUAUUGUAGCCAGGGAUAUGACUUCUGCCACUCUUUCUCCUUGUUGUCCCUGGCUUUCCUGUCCUUCUCCGCCUUAUCCUUCAGAACUUGCUCUUCUUGCUUCCUUUUCUUCUCCCUCUGCUCCUCUUUCCACUACUCUUUGGACUCUUCUGCAGGAGAAAGGGAGGCCCCCAGUGGUCAGUGCAAGUUGCAUGCAAUUUCAAGCUGCUGCAGCACCAACUUUGGCUGGGAAUUGUGCAGUUCAGCAACUGGUCCUCACCAGUCUCAGUGACCUCGCAGCGGACAAGCCCCAGAGUGAGGGGAAUGAUGACGAGGGAGACGAGCUUGGUGAGCGUGGAGCGCUGCCGCUUGCUGCCGGUCUGCUUGCUGCCCGAUGCUGAGGCUCCAGCGGGAGCGGGAGCAGGCGGGAGGUCCACGUACGGCUCAAGCCUGAGGGGGACAGGGUUGGGGCCAGCCCCCUCGGGCCACGAACGCUCACCAGACGCCCCUCUGAGUGCCAGCCUCGCUUCCUCCCAGGUGUGGUCAGAGUUCAGCAAAUCCUGCAAUGUCUCCCUGAACUCAGGGUCUGGGUGCUGCUCCAUCCACUCAUUGGACCAGGCCUCAGGGGGAGUGUUGGCUGGCUGAGAGGGGGGCUGAGGAGGAGGGGUGGGCUGUGGGGCCUGGGAUGCCCCUGCCUGCAGGGGAGCCCCUGCAUGGGACGGAUUUGUGGCCUUCAGAGCAUGGCACUCUGACCCAUGCAUGCUGUUGAUGCAUGCUGACCCAAAUGAGGAUUGAUGCCUGCCAGCAACUCAUGACUUACAAAGGGAAGCAAUUGUAGUCUGUGACGUGGGCGGGGGAGGAGGCUCUGGAAGGCUGGGCAUGGGGCCUCUGCCCCGCCCUCCCCGUCUCCCUCCUCUCCUAGCCAUGGCUGCUGAUGACCCUGGCUGAUUCUGCCUACGUUGAAAAAUGCACCCAAAGUACAAAUUAUAAUGUUCGGGAAAGAAAGAAAGAAAAGAAAAAGAAAAAGAAAAGAAAAACUGCGUAGACGGAGAAACUCCCCCUACAUCAGUUAAGGAAAAGGAGGCACAUUGGCUCCGAAUAAUGUUCGGGUCCUACCCAAACGGGACCUGGCAUUUUCAAGGAAAUUUUGGGUUUGACCCGAGCGGAUUUGGCCUGCGCCUCGGGCGCAGGCCAAAUCCUUCAAUUAUUUUCGGGUAACCCGAGGGUUUGAACUUCUUUGGUGUUGGUGGCACAAUUUACAACAACUUCACUAUUGCACCUCUUAUAAAUCUGGGCCUGACCAAACAAAAAGCUGAAUCACUAGCUUCCCAACUCAGAGACCAUGCCAUCCAAAGAUUAUCCACCAUCAUUAACACAAGACAUGCACUUUGUUUUCAGGGAGCAUCUGGGAGGGGAGGGUUUGCUGGGCGCGCGGCUGUGGCUGAGGAUGGAAGAAGGAGUGUCCGAGCGCUCAGGGGCAUGGCGGCCAAUCCCCCGGAUCCCCAUUAGUUCUGUUUCUUGCUCUCUCCUAGGCUAGGUUCGUCUAGUUUAGGUGGAGGGACUCUUGGUGAGGCCUCUAGCUUUUGCUAGGGGUUCUUCCCUUAAUGCACGCGGCCUCGGGACUGCGUAGACUUUUCUUUUCUUUUCUUUUCUUUUCUUUUGGGGUUGGAUUGGUGAGGCAUAGAGACUACUUCAAGAUUGUCUGUGGAUGCAUUGUUAAAAGCUGUGGAAAUUUGCUGCUUGUCAGAAGGCAGGCAUCACAGCAUGCAUGGCUUUGAGAAUGUCAUGGCUACUGACACUGCGCAGUUUCCAAUUGGCUCUAGGCAUAUACUUACUGAUGUCACUGGCAAGGUUUUGCAGCCAAGCUGGGUUAUGGCUGUUAAGAUGGAUCCUUGCAGCAGGGUUCCAAAACGCAAUAAUUUGUAUAUCCAAGCUGUGCUGAGGAAGAGGUAUUUCUUGAUUCGGGCAUGAUUGAGGGGCUUUGUAAACAAGGUUGGUCUUCAUCUACUUAUUCGGAAAGCGCGUGUUCCAGAUGCUUGGAAGGAAGCUAAACUCACCCCAAUCCACAAGAAAGGCCCCGUUGUUUCUCCAACUAAUUAUAAGAUGAUACCUGUGAGCGCUCCUAUCUACCGGUUGUACACCAAUGUCCUGAGAUCCAUUAUUCAAGAUUGGUGUAUCCACCACAGGAAAAUUCCUGAUACACAAUAUGGAUUUUAUCCAGGAAGAAGUACCCUUCAACCAAUCUUCAUCCUACAACACCUGAAAAACGCAGCCCAAAAAGCUCGGAGUGAUACCUCCAGAUUGUUUACAGCAUUCAUUGAUUUUCAGCAAGCGUACGACUCUGUUCCUUGGGAAAAGCUGCGGAAACAUUUGUAUCAUUGUCGUCUACCUCAACAACUCAUUGCUAUUCUCCAGGAUCUGUAUCACAUGGAUGUAUAUACUCUGCUUGAUGGUGACAAAAUGGCUAGUGUUCAGCCAGUGUGUGGGGUUAAACAAGGAUGUCCUCUAUCCCCUCUUCUUUUCGCAAUUUAUCUCAACGAUAUUGAUACUGUUGCAGAGGGUGUACAAGGUGCUCUGACAGCCAUCCCAAAUUUAACGGUGACCCAUUUACUUUUUGCUGAUGAUCUGGCUUUUACAGCAAACAGGCAACCAAGUUUACAAAAGCUUCUAAACAACCUGAAAGACUACGCCAUGAGGAAAUCUUUGGUUGUUAAUACGUAGAAAUCCCAAGUGAUGUGUGUAAAUUCCAGGUCUGACAAUCUGCCGACUUUUUUCUAUGAUGGGUCACCCUUAACUUACACUGACCAUUUCAAAUAUCUAGGGAUGGUGAUUGAUAAGCAAUUUCAUCUUUCAACAGCAGCAGACGCAGCCUUACAGCCUCUGGUGAAUGAGACUUUCAAAAUACAGCGCUUUGCUCAGGAGCACGGUCUAACCAACCGACUUCAUGCUCUCAUUUGGUUACUUAAGACUUAUUCCAUUCCUGCUGGUAUGUAUGCAAGUCAGAUUUGGGCAACCCCCUUCCUUAAGCAAGGUAAAGAAAUGGACAACCCAUUACAAAAAUGGAUUAUUGCAACACUUAAAAGGUGGCUGGGUGUCAGAGAUACAACUCCUUCUUGGUCUGUGCUGCGAGAGUGUGGGCUUGAACCGCUACAACUCAAUUGGUUCCGAGCAGCUAUUCGUCUGUACAACUCGUUUACACAAUGCAAUAGCAUCACGGUCAGAAAGGUCUUACAGGCGGAUAUCUGCUUAUCUUCUUCCUCUUGUGACUGCUGGUCUUCACACACAAUUAAUGCCAUGGAUGGAUUGCAUCAUGCUAGUCAAUUCAAGCUCAGCAUAAUGAAUUGUGAACCAAUCCACCUUCGACAAUUUGUGGUUGACCUCAGAUCCAGACAGGUUCAUUAUUGGGCUCAAUUCUCCGGCCCCACUCCCAGACAACGGAAUAGCAAACACCGUACUUAUCAUCAUUGGUGUGCGCUGCCUAUCCGCAACAUUGUAGCCACCCAGGCCCCUUAUCAAACUCCCAAAUAUUUCUACAUUGCCCUUCCCAAUGAUGUUCUUCGAAAUGUUGCCCGCUUUAGGCUUUGGGUCCAUACUCUUCGGUAUGAAACAUCUACUUGGAAUCAGGGUUCUUCUUCUCAUUGUGAUUUUUGUCAGGAUGUAAAUUGUAUCCAGGAUGAAAAACAUGUUAUUUUUCACUGUACUCACCCCCAUGUCGUUGCACUGCGUGCUAAGUAUGCCUUUCUAUUCAAUAACCAGGAGGCUCAAGAUGUUCGUAAUUUUAUUCUUCAAGAUAAUAAUAAACUUGUCUAUUUUAUCCAUGAAAUUGUUACUUUUUAUGAACAGGCUAGCAGUCGUGCGUUUUGACUGAAGGCCUUUUUCUUUCCUGUAACCCUGUAACCCUGUAAACAAGGUUGGUCUUCGGGAUGGUGCCAAUUUCAUAGCAUAUGUGGGGAAAUGCAGAAAUGAGUUUAAAGCAGGGGUUCAUUAUCAUUUGUUUUCCCCAAACAGGAAGGAACAUGAAGGUAGCAGUGGCCUCUGUGUUGUGAAUGGCAGAAUAAAUGGCAUGUCGCAAGGUUUGUGUCAUAGUACCCUCAUUAUAGAUGGGAUGGCAAGCAGAGAAGCCUGAAAACCUGGAUGAAAGAGAAUUAUGGAGGGCACCAAAGACAGCGUGUCGAGAGUCAGCACUCCAGUAGUGUUGGUAAUGUGGGUCGUGGUCUAAAGGGGAGGCCAUCUUUUCUUGAGUUACUAAGGCCCAUUUUUGGAGUGCUGAAUAGAUGUCUGCAGGUAGGGCCCGUGAGAAGGAGUCUUUGAUCUUUUUGCUAGAGUAUUUGUUUUCAAGUAGUGUUUUGCGGGAGAGAAGGCCUUGCAGCUCAGAUGCAAAGCUGGCAGGAGCUGGCUUCAUUUUGUCGUGCAUGCCAUGAAGCUUGGCUCUAUAAAAUGCCCUGUAGAGGAUAAAGGAACGGUUAGGGGAUAUCAUCCCAACGCAUUUACCUUGUGUGUUAUAAAUGCAAGCCAUGUGCGUCCUGUAGACCUCCGGGAGAAUUAGUGUAGGAGAACGGACGGAGGGAUUGGGUGUGUGGACCAGUGUCAGGUGGCGCUUCAGCAGGAGCUUGCUCAUCUUUGUAUUUCACAAGGCCAAUUUCAUGCAGCCAAAAUUCGCAGGAACCAGUUGACUUUAUGUCUGCUUGAGGAUUAGUGGGGUUUAGAUCAAAGAUGACUUUGUUGCGCAGUUCAGUGUCUAAUUUUUGCUUCCAUACAUUUGAACUGUCAAGUUUCUCAAAGCCUUGUCUUUCUAGAUUAGAUAGGUCAGAAUCUGCGGUGGGUAAGGAGAGGUCAGGUUCACUUUCCCUGGCUUGAAAUUCAAGGAGACGAGUGUGGAAUUCAGGCCAAAGGUCUUUGGUCUCUUCUGGUUCCCAGGUGGGCUUCCAGGUGACCCUCCAUAGUUCAUGUUUGGACUGUUGUUCCCUGUCAGCUUUUUCCCUGUCAGCCGCGGGAACCUGAGACGAACAGUAAAACGUUCACUUACCAUCAUUGGUGUGCCCUUCCACAACGUGACGCUCAUGCUACCUUCUCUCCGUGUCGUCUACCCAAGUACUUCCAUUUGGAUCUACCCACACAUAUUUUACGCAGUGUUGCCCGCUUUCGGUUACGUGUUCAUCUCUUGAGGAUUGAGCUAAACUACUGGAAUGAAGAGAUUGAUCCUAAGUGCGAUCUGUGUGAUGCUCACGAUGACGCUCAGGAUGAACAACAUGUGCUAUUUUAGUGCACUCAUCCUCACGUUUGCAACCUUAGAAGGAAAUAUGCAUCUUUGUUCAAUGGGCAUGCCCUUUCCCUCUCAACUCCAGUGUCCCAAGCGGCACCGUUCCUGCAUGCAUCUCACCAUGUCCCACCACAUGCCAUGCGUUCUUUUUUGAAUCAAAACAAUAAUAAACUUUAUCCUUUCCUGCAUGAACUCCUACUUUUUUAUGAACAGGCUAGCAGUCAGUCGGUUUGACUGGAGGCCUUUUUCCUCUGUAACUGUAAAUGUAACUGUAACUGUCAGCUUUUUGAUCGUGAUUCAAUUCUGUAACAGGCGGGGCAGGCCCACUGGUGAGCAUCAUCAAUUUCUUGUCUUUGGUCAUCAGUAUAACAACCAAGAUCUUUCAUUUCCAAUGAUAUGUACGAUGGCAAGUAUCAAAGAAAAAAAGAAAAGCCUACGCAGUCCCGAGGCCGCGUGCAUUAAGGGAAGGACCCCUAACAAAAGUCAGAGGCCUCACCAAGAGGCCCUCCACCUAAACUAGACAAAACUAGGAGAGAGCCAGAAGCAGAACUAAUGGGGAUCCGGAGGAUUGGCCGCCAUGCCCCUAAGCGCUCGGACUCUCCUUCUUCCAUCCUCAGCCGUUGCCGCACGCCCAGCAAACCCUCCCCUGCCAGAUACUCCCUGAAAACAAAGUGCAUGUCUAGUGUUAAUGAUGGUGGAUAGUCUUUGGAUGGCAUGGUCCCUGAGUUGGGAAGCUAGCAAUUCAGAUUUUUGUUUGGUCAGGCCCAGAUUUAUUAGAGGUGUAAUUGUAUAUUUGUUAUAAAUCGUGACACCAACACCAAUUAGAAUGAUGUGCAGUGUCACUUUAUUAUUCCUGUUUGGGUUUCUUAAGCUGCGUGUUUUAAGUCUGGUAAUGAUGUGCAAAUGUUGAGAUUGUGCACGCUCCAAGGUGCUGACAGGAUUAGUGUCGGAGCAGAAUUUAAGUUCAACAAGGUGAAUGCCUCUAUCUUGUGGUGGGAUCUUUGUAGGAUCAAGGUGGGCUUUUCUGCCUGGGAUGUGUCGCACAAAUAGAGCAUCAGGGCGGCUUGUAUGCUAUACAGGUGAGGCAGCGCCAUUUGUGAAAACCCAGUCUGGAAUAGCGCGAGAGGUGUCUUCAGGGACUUGUAUGCCUUGAUCCAGAAGUCUGUCAUGGUUGCAGCCAUCCAUGCUAAUGAGGGAUGAGCCAAAACGGCCUUUGCCGAGGGCUUUUAUAAUAAGAGUAAGGGCUGCGUGGUGUCUGUUUGUGUGCAUCCCACUCAUUGUUGGGUUGGUACACCUGAGCAGAGCAUGAUAAAUGUUAUCGGUACUUGCACAGAGAGGGCAGCUAUCAGAAUUGGAAAAGUUAAAGCGAGAGGCAUGGCCCUGCGUGUACAGUGUAUCCGUUCGAUAUUUCAUGAGGUUUGUUUGUUGUUUAAGGGUAAUCUUUGGAUUUUUCCAGAAGGAGUUGCUGAUUUCCUUGUUUGCAAGCUGAGGGAUUGGGUUGUGAGCUUCAUUGUUUGUGUUGUUGGUGGAUGGUGUGGCAUCGUUAAGCUUCUGCCAUCUCUGGUAGUGGUAGCCAGAGGUGUCAGCGCAGCCUAGUCUGUGUUUUUUGUGCAUGUGUGUUUUAAGUUUG
rnacentral:lncRNA from 1 species